rnacentral:lncRNA from 1 species
GCUAUGAAGUUCGAGGUCCGUGCUGGAGGGCUGCGGUUAGAGCUGAGAACACCAACAAAGCAGGAAGGGCAGAGGAUUCAUCCAUCAGGCCUUGUGCUAUCCAUCCAGACUUUCUGAGAGAGAAAUCUACAAGAGCCAGCCCUUAAAAGUGUGGCUUAGUUUCUCAAAGAAGGACCAAAGUUUUGUCAAGAACACCCAGAUGAAGACCUUCCUAGACCUGUAAACUGGGAUUACCAAGUUCUUGACUUCACAAGGAAGUUUCAACCAAUUCUGAUGGAACAACCAGAGAGGCCCAAAUGACUGCCACCCAUGAGCCAAGGACCUGAUCUCUUUCCUUUAGACCUAAUACUCUACCGGAGAUCCACAACCUUCCUAAUCCCCACCCCCUCCUCGUCCCGCCCCCGCGCCUCAAAAACUAUGGAGAAAAAGAAGGUGUGCCCAAGGCUGGACCGAAGUCAUCCUGCCCCUUCUUCAAAAGAGAGACACCUCCCAAGGCCAACGCCCUCCGGAGGGGCCCAGGUGCUCCUCCCUUCUGGCAUCUAUUCCGUCUGGCAUCUAUUCCGUCUGGCAUCUAUUCCUCUGCAAAGGAUCAGAAAGGAAGCCGCUGGCUCAAUGGAUUCUGGAUUUCGGGUAGACCUGACUGCUUUGGGGCAUCCUCAAUCGGGCGGUGAAGCCUCUGGGGGCAGAGGAGCGUCGUGGGAGAGGAGCGUCGUGGGAGAAAGACAAGCUAGGCUGCUGCUUCCCUACCCAUGCCAACUUCCCGGGUCUCGUCUUGAAACAAGAGCAGAGGCCUGAGACCCGGGCGCCAUUGCUGGCCAGGCUCCCCUCCCCCACACUCCUUUCUUUGCUUCUCGAAGACCCGGGAGGGAGGAGGCGGCGAGCGCCUCGGUGGAUAGAGCUGCUAUUGUGACCUUCCCGGGCUAAGCGGGGAACCCAGCGGAGUGUGUACUGCCCGCGGUGGCGGGGGAGGAGGUGACUGUGUGCAAGCCUCGAGUGCAGAGGGGGUGGCACCCGGGAAUAAAUAAAGGCUUGCAACCUCGGGCACUUGGACCC